UGUCCUUUUCAUUCAAGCGCAAUCACAUUAAGCCCGUUAUCCGUACAUGCUUCGUAGUAGAGUGGCCUGUUAGUGAUUAUGAUCUGAGCAUGGGGUUCUGGCACAUAAACAUGUGUAAACCCUUUUAUUGGACCCAAUUGUAGUUGUGGGGGAUCGGAUCGUAAUCCGCCCUACCGAGUUCAGUGCCAGAUACCUCUGAACCAACUAAUAGUGGGUAAGUUUUUUUUCUUUUUUUUCUUUUUCUUUUUCUUUUUCUUUUUUUAGCAAUUUUUUACAAUUCUUUGGUUUAAAUGACUUUGUGAGGGUCACCUAUACCGGAGUUGCCUUUUUG
rnacentral:lncRNA from 1 species